AGUCAAGCUACUAAGGGCACAUGGGGAAUGCCUUGGCGCCAGAAGCCGAAGAAGGGCGUAGUAAGACUGCGAUAAGCCCCGAUUAGCUGCCUAACAAGCUUAGUCGGGGAUUCCCGAAUGGGGGAACCCAUCUACUUCGGUAGUUGCCUUAGUCGUGAGACUUUGGCGGUAAGCGGGGGAACUGAAACAUCUAAGUACCCCGAGGAAAGGAAAUCAACCGAGACUCCCCUAGUAGCGGCGAGCGAACGGGGACUAGCCCAAACCACAAGAGCCUAACGGACUGGAGUCCUGUGCCUUUGUGGUGUUGUAGGGCCGGGCCUGAGAAAUCUCCAGAUUUCUCGAAGAGUUACAAAACGUACAUUUAGUCGAACAGUCCUGGAACGGCUGGCCGUAGUGGGUGAAAGCCCCGUAGACGAAAAGUGUGCGACUCUUAGCCCGGUUCCUGAGUACGACGGGACACGUGAAAUCUUGUCGGAAUCUGGGGGGACCACCCUCCAAGGCUGAGUACUUCUGGCGACCGAUAGUGAACAAGUACCGUGAGGGAAAGGUGAAAAGCACCCCGCGAGGGGAGUGAAACAGAACUGAAACCAUGUGCCUACAAACCGUAGAAGCUCCGAUUUAUCGGGGUGACUGCGUGCCUAUUGAAGAAUGAGCCUGCGAGUUAGUGUUACGUCGCGAGGUUAACCCGUGUGGGGAAGCCGUAGCGAAAGCGAGUCUGAAGUGGGCGUCCGUCAUCGGCAACAGACCCGAAACCGAGUGAUCUACCCUUGGUCAGGAUGAAGUUCCGGUAAAACGGAAUGGAGGUCCGAACGCAUUUACGUUGAAAAGUGAUGCGAUGAACUGAGGGGAGGAGUAAAAGUCUAAUCAAACUCGGAGAUAGCUGGUUCUCCCCGAAAUGCAUUUAGGUGCAGCGUUGCGUGUUUCUUACCGGAGGUAGAGCUACUGGAUGGCUAAUGGGCCCUACAAGGUUACUGACGUCAGCCAAACUCCGAAUGCCGGUAAGUGAGAGCGUGGCAGUGAGACUGCGGG
rnacentral:rRNA from 1 species